rnacentral:rRNA from 1 species
UGGGGAAUAUUGCACAAUGGGGGGAAACCCUGAUGCAGCGACGCCGCGUGAAGGAUGAAGUAUUUCGGUAUGUAAACUUCUAUCAGCAGGGAAGAAAAUGACGGUACCUGACUAAGAAGCCCCGGCUAACUACGUGCC